rnacentral:sRNA from 1 species
GCCACAUACCUUUCGGGUGGUGCAGUAUUCUAGUCAGUCUACCAUGUUUGAGGGCGGGCCUAAAAAUUCGCCAAAGGGCACAUCGAUGAAGUUCCUGGUGUUGGCUUCGAACGCCCAGUUCGGGGCUGAUGCUGGGAGUUAAGGUUUGAGGGCGAUCCGCAACGGCAUGCGGGCGUUGACCCUCUUUCCGCGGAGGCCCAAGUGCGUGGCUGGCAGGCCGGGAGAAAUUUGACCCGGUCGGGUUACGGCUUGGGGUAUGAACCUGCAAUGGCGAGCCUCACCUGCACUUAUGAGAUUAUUCUACAUAAGGUGCUAAAACGGCUUGCGUGCAGCGUAGCCUGCCUUGAGUGAAGUAGCGGGGAUUGCAGAUGUGUAGGCGUCAGGAUUCUCGGCCAAGAAGACGGAUGCCGGAUGCUGCUUGAAAUCUGCUUUGCAAAAGAGGCUAAAACAUGGUUCAGGGCUGCUCGAGGAAAACUCCUAGACUGUUCGCGGUAUGUGAGGCUUCUUGAGGAUUAUAGUGUGGACUAAGUGGUAAUCCAGUCUGGCGCGCGGCGACGGCGCCAAGGCGGACAUAAUGGGAAACCGCCAUUCCGGCGACGGAGCGGUGCCCGCUUGGGAAAACCUACUGGACCUAAGCCACAGCGUUUACUCAAGAAGCUGCCACUCGACCUAACCACAUA